ensembl:lncRNA
UAUCUAUUCACACACAUAUCCAGACACAAAAUUCACUCCUGGACCACAGAGCUAUCCUUAGCUCUUUUCUUGAAAAACCUGGCUCUCAUUUUAUCAACAGUGCUUUUCCUCAUUUUUUUCAACCCUAGUAUACAAAUGAAAUAGUUUAAGAAUUCCUAAUCUGUUACCAACUAGAAUACAAUGCUUGUGUAGUUUAUUUUAUCUUUAGCCAUAUGAUAUGUAGCCAAAAUACUGUUUUCCAAAGUUGCUGUGAAGAACUCCUUGCUUCUCCAUCCACUUUAGUGUAAUUAUGCAAUUCACUUGUAAUACGGUUAUAUUCCUCUGUCACAAUCUGCAUUCCAUCUUUCCUCUAUAUGCUAAUUGAUCUAUUUUUAACAUUUACAUACAAUAAUAGUUACUCUUUUUGGUGUACAGUCUUGUUGGUUUUAACAAAUGCACACAGAAAGGUAUCCACCACCAAAAUUCCAUACACAAGAGUACUAUCACCAUCAAAAUGUUCUUGGAAUAUUUUUAUAUAAUUAAGUGCUCCCAUGUUUCUCCAAACUUUGCCACCAUUGACCUGUUUUUUUUUUUUUUUUUUUUGGUCCCUAUAUUUUAUUUUCUUCAGAGUCUUACAUAAAUGGAAGCAUGAAGUACAUAGCCUUUUAGAUCUUUUUUUCCACUUCGAAAAAUACAUUUAAGAGUCAUCUGUGUUUUAGCAUGAAUCAAUAGUUUGUUUCUGUUUAUCAUGACUAUUAUUUUCUUCAUCACUAUUUUUUUUAAAAAGUGAAUUCAAUUUCUGUGUUUUGGACUUGAUCUCACUUAAAAAAAAGUCCAGGAUAUUCUGAAUGUUAAAAUGUAUGUCAUUUAUUUUGUGUCAAAUGUAUAUGAAGAGAAAUUUAUUUAUUCACAUUUCACUUUCAGUCUAAAAAGUGAAGUGGGCAGAGUUCCAAGGGAAAGUGAAUAAUUAUUAGUUAAAUGGACAUUUAGUAACUGAUAUUUAGGAAUGAGUAGAGCACAGUAUGAGGCAAUUAUUUACUCAGAUUUUCCUUUAUAGUAUUGUAUUCAUGCCCAAGGACUCUACAGAAACAUGUUAGUAGUUAGAACAAAUUUCAAAGUAUCACUCCUUGUAGAAACAAAGAGACAAUAUCUAGAGAAUUUCUUAAGAUCCGGCACUAUUAAUACCACCAAUAAUCAGAGGAUGGUUUCAAAACCUUGACUCCAAUACUUACUACCCAUCGUUUCAAUUCAAAGUAGUAAACUACAUGUAGUUUUCAUCAACUCUAUUACAUGGAGUAAAUGUUCAGAAGUAUGGGACAAUUUUCAAUUAAAUGAUAACAGUUGUGACCAACUUCAGACACAGUUAGUUAAAAUUUCAAAACUGAUGCUAAGAACAUUAGAUCCGUAAAAGAAGGUUAGAAAUAGACUGGAAAUAAUGGCAGAGGAGUAAGCUCUUCCAGUGUUUGUUAAGAACAUAUUUCUUCCAAUAUGACUUGGAAAUCAUUGUUGGUUACAAGAAAUUCCCAGAUUAAUUUGGAAAUAGGUACCUAUUUCCCAUCACGGAUAGUGUCACACUGAAAUGGCCCUAAGAUAUAGGCCACACAUAUAGCAUUUUAACCACAUCAACUAGAAACUUUGGGUCAGCCUGAGCAUAUAACCCUCCUCAAGAAAGUAACCUGACUGAAUGUUUCCCAUCAAUCUUUUCUUGGAGUUUAUUUUCCUCAUCAACUUUGGUUAAAGGUUCUGCACUCAGUAAUACACCUGCUGUCAGUUGGAUAGUUAUGGCCGCGUUUUAAAAUCUCUGCCACCUAUGAGUGGAUAUUUUGGCCUAAUGUCCAAAAAGUCCCUGCUACUUUAAAAAUGUUUGUUUACCUAUCUAAGGUUUCAGAUUUUGGCUAGGUGAACAGACUGUCUUUUCAAAAAUCCUUCUAAAGCAUAUUGGGAUAACAUUUUUCUAUGCUUUGCAAUAAGGCUCUUUUCUGUGAUACUGUCUGAGACGUCAGUUGUUUUUGUGAGAGAAGGAAUAUUUUAAUAACCAGAGUAUUGAAAGUAGAUGUAUAAAGUUUAGGACAAACAUAGAGAUAUCAUACAUAGCAGAAAGGUGGCUUGGAGACACAGACUAUCUUUCAUCAUCCCCUAUUUUUGGAAACCAGGAAUAACUGCUUUUUGUCAUUCCUGACAGCUAAGAAUAAUUAUGAUUGUUUUAUUUCAAUUUGGGGAAUGAAAACUGAUUUCUUACAACUCUCUGUAGAAUUUCAUCAAUUCUCAUAAAAACUUUACAGUUCAGGUAUUAUUCCACUUUUUAUAUUUACUUCCUUGCCCAAAGAUAUAACAGUGAUUUGGAUGUUGAUCCCAAGUUUUUCUAAUUUAAAAGCCCAUGUUUUGUUUUGCUUUGCUUUUUCUACUUUUUAAAAAAUGUGAUUGUAUAUCUCUGAUAGUAAGAUAUUGCUCUUCUAUGACUCAGGUAAUCUUUUAGAACAAUCCUAUGCUCUACCAUCUAUCAAGUGAGUUUAGCAGCGUCUUUUUAUUUAUCACAGCCAAUAUUCCUGAGCAUGUGACUAUGCAUUCCAUUCACAGGUGCAAAGAGUCAAUCUGCUUUCAUCCAGAUAUCCAUCGUCAAAUUUCUUUUGAGAGACUUUGACUCUUAGCCCUCUCUCCAAUACUUAACUGAUCAAUAAGUGCAGCCUAUUUGAAAUUUGCCUUUGGUCUCUUCUAGUCUUCAUUUCCUUGGUUAUAAGGUUCUAGAAGAACAAUCACAGAGGUGAAGUACAUCAAAGAUAUCACAGGUGAUUUUUAAAUUUUGACUAUGAAAGCCUAGCUCACAUAAUGCAUGCUAUGCUUUCUCACUGUAAAGUUACUCUUUUUUCCUUUAUUCUUAUACUGUACUCUUUAGAAGAAAGUCAUUAUUCACAAGCCACACUUAAGAAGUAGGGAAUUAUUCCCAAUAUUUAUAAUUCUUGUACAAAGCAGAUUUGUCUCUUCUUUACAUUAAUUAAUGUAUUCAGUCAUUGUUGGUAUCCAUAUAGACUCAGACAUUUAUCUUAUACCUACCUGAUUUUAUUACCCAAAGUGUUUCAUCUUUGGACACUGGGACCUCUUUCAGUUGGUUGCUCUGUCCCUUUGACAUUGUUUCAUCAGUGUGUAUAUUUAUUCUAUUUUUUAAAAGUAUUACUAAUGUUCACUCUAUGAUCCUAUUUUGGAAAAUUAAAAAAAUUUGUAUGUAUAUAUAAUUGAAAUCAUAUACAUCAAUAUUAAUAUCAGUUAUGCUAUCUCAAAUAAUACCUGAUUUUAUUUUUUGCAUGCAUGUUUAUUUUUAUUAUAUAUUACUCAUGAAUAAAACUCAAUAAUAUUAUAUGAUUAGAAAGGGAAUAAGCAUAAGCUGAAAGCAAUAAUAACUUGAUAAAUCAGUGAGACCUGUGUCUCCAGUUGGUCAGGACAUGAAGCCAGUUUUGAAGAGUCGCAGCUGCCCUCUACUGGUCAGUACUUAAUUUUUUAAUUUUUUUCCAGUUUUAUUGAAGUAUAUUAAUUUGCAAGGCUGUGAUCAUUUCUGCUGUACAACAAAGUGACUCAGUCAUACAUACAUACAUAUCUCUUCUCUCUGAUUCUUUACCCACAUAAAUUAUCACAGAAUACUGGGUAGAGUUCUCUGCUAUAGAGCAGGUCCCAUUUGGCCAAUCAUUCCAUAUACCACAGUGUGCAUAUACCAAACCUACCCUCCCACCUGUCCCCUUUGGUAACCAUGAGUCUGUUUCAGUUUUGCAAAUAAGUUCAUUUGUAUCUUUUUUUUUUUUAGAUUCAACAUAUAGGGGAUAUCAUAUGAUGUUUUGUCUUUCACAGUCUGAUUAACUUAGUAUGAUAGUUUCUAGGUCCAUCCAUGUUGCUGCAAAUGGCAUUAUUUCAUUAUUUUUUGUGGCUGAGUAAUAUUCCAUCAUAUGCAAUGGAGAAAAGUGAGUCUCUUCAAUAAGUUGCACUAGUAAAACUGGACAGCUUCAUGCAAAAGAAUGAAGUUAGAACAUUCUCUAACACCAUACACAAAAAUAAACUCAAAAUGGAUUAAAGACCUACUAGUCAAUAUUUUAACCCUUUGGAGAAAAAAACAGUGUCCUUUUAGAAGUGCAAGCCUGAUAUUUUCUGGACAAUGACAGUCCUGAUAUCUUGGGAGUUAAAAAAUAUUUUGGCUUCUGCUACAGAAUCUCUAGGUAGAUUUAGCUCAGUUACGUAUUUGAAGAGUCAUUAUAACUUAAAAAAUGCCUCUCAUAAAUGCGAAGUUCAUGUCUGUGGAUUGCAAACAGAAAUGGAUAUAUGUGAGAACAGGCCCAGAAAAAUAUCACACAUGCUGACUUGACAAUACUGUACCUCUUGAGUCUGAUCUAAAGAAAAUAUCUUCUUGGAUGAGAAUAUUUGGUCCAUGACCUCUCUUCUGAGAAUGUGACCAUGUCUGCUACAAAGCUUACAUAAACAAGGCUAAGAUUUCUCAUUGGCAGAAUCUAAAGGGGAAAAAACCCUGGCUUAUUUCAUGUUUUACUCAAUUAUGAUUAAACUGCUUAGUGUGAAUUUGAGAGAAAGGUUAAAAGUUUAAUAAGUUAUUUAGCCAAGAGGGAAAUUCAUGUCCUGAGUAAAUAAUUAUCAACCAUAUUUUCUCCUCUGCACUCAGUGCCUCUAAGAAGCAGCUUGUAAUGCAGCAACGAACACCAAAAAAAUCUCUCUGCUCCUGUGGUUCUUGUACAAAUGACCAGAGACAGGCAAUAGACAACAAAUAGGAUAAGUAAAUGAUUUGAUUGGUGGAAUGUGACAAACAUGAAAUGGAGUUAGGGCAUUUGGGAGAGCUGGAGUAGAGUGGGCACAGGUUGCUCUGUUAAACAGAAGAGUCAGCCCAGGGCUCUUGGAGAAGGUGAGAUUUGAGCAAAAUAUGAAUGAAUGGAUAAAUAAACAAAUAAUUAAAAAGGUCUUUUAAAAGAUUUUAUUUUCUUUGAGAGAGUCACUUUUUAUAUAUUAAAAAGAAACCUGGGGUUAAUAGUCUAAUUACUCCUAGAUUAAAAUGGAAAACUUUUAAUGAGACCUUUCGGGCUACUGUGUGUGUUCCAUCUUUGGCUUGGUUCUCUAGCCACAUUUUUCACCAGGUCCCUCCGUAUUUAUUCUGCUCCAGUUAUAUUGCUUUUACUUCCCUAAAAAAAAAAAAAAAAAA